rnacentral:rRNA from 1 species
UACAGAGGGUGCGAGCGUUAAUCGGAAUUACUGGGCGUAAAGCGCGCGUAGGCGGCUUUGCAAGUCGGGUUGUGAAAUCCCCAGGCUUAACCUGGGAACUGCAUUCGAGACUGCAUUGCUAGAGUAUGGGAGAGGGAAGUGGAAUUUCCGGUGUAGCGGUGAAAUGCGUAGAUAUCGGAAGGAACAUCAGUGGCGAAAGCGACUUCCUGGACCAAUACUGACGCUCAUGUGCGAAAGCGUGGGGAGCAAACAGG